rnacentral:rRNA from 1 species
AACGAACCUUGGCGGCGCGUCUUAAGCAUGCAAUCGAACGGUAAGGGAGAGCUUGCUCUCCCCUAGAGUGGCGACUGGUGGUAACGCGUGGUGACCUGCCCUGAGAUGUGGAUGCUAUAGAAAUAUAGAUAAUACCGAAUGUGCUCAUACAUAAAGGUAAUGAGAAAGGAGCUACGGCUCCGCUUCAGGAUGGGCCCGCGUCCCAUUAGCUGGUUGGUGAGGUAAAGGCCCACCAAGGCAACGAUGGGUACCGGCCUGAGAGGGUAACGGACACAUUGGGACUGAGAUACGGCCCAAACUCCUACGGGAGGCAGCAGCUAAGAAUCUUCCGCAAUGACGAAAGUCUGACGGAGCGACGCCGUGUGAAUGAAGAAGGCCGAAAGGUUGUAAAAUUCUUGCAGAUGAAGAAUAAGAAGAAGAGGGAAUGCUCUUUGAUGACGGUAGUCAUGCGAAUGCCCCGGCUAAUCA